UACGUAGGGUCCGAGCGUUGUCCGGAAUUACUGGGCGUAAAGAGCUCGUAGGUGGUUUGUCGCGUUGUUCGUGAAAACUCACAGCUUAACUGUGGGCGUGCGGGCGAUACGGGCAGACUUGAGUACUACAGGGGAGACUGGAAUUCCUGGUGUAGCGGUGAAAUGCGCAGAUAUCAGGAGGAACACCGGUGGCGAAGGCGGGUCUCUGGGUAGUAACUGACGCUGAGGAGCGAAAGCGUGGGGAGCGAACAGG
rnacentral:rRNA from 1 species